rnacentral:misc_RNA from 1 species
CCCUCCUGGUUGCUUCAAUAAUAUUUUCCUGGGUUUUGUUUUUUGGGCUAUUCUAGAACUCAAGGCUCCUGUUUUUCAUGGGAAUGGACCCUUAAGAUGUCAAAGCAGUUUCAAAAACAAUAAUGGCUACAGAGAGGCCAAUUUUACAAGUGAAUAUUUCUUUUCGGAAAAUACCAUAGAAUCACAUCAUGUGAUCUUUUGGUACGAUGGCCAUGACAUUUCCUUUUUAGAUUGGCUCAAACAAAA